AGGUCAAGCUACAAAGGCGCAUGGUGAAUGCCUUGGCACUAGGAGCCGAAGAAGGACGCGAUAAGCUGCGAUAAGCCUUGGGUAGCCGCAAAUAGGCUGAGAUCCAGGGAUUUCCGAAUGAGGAAACUCACAUGGGUAACCCCAUGUAUCAUGCACUGAAUACAUAGGUGUAUGAGGGUAAACCCGGGGAACUGAAACAUCUAAGUACCCGGAGGAAGAGAAAGAAAAAUCGAUUUCCUAAGUAGCGGCGAGCGAACGGGAAAGAGCCCAAACCAGAAACUUGUUUCUGGGGUUGUGGAUAGAUCAUAAAAGAAGAGGUAUCUUAAUCGAAGAGGGCUGGAACGCCCUACCAUAGAAGGUAAUAGUCCUGUAGGUAAAAGAGAAAACUUCGAGAUCUAAUCCAGAGUACCACGAGACACGUGAAACCUUGUGGGAAGCAGGGAGGACCACCUCCCAAGGCUAAAUACUACCUAGUGACCGAUAGUGAAGCAGUACCGUGAGGGAAAGGUGAAAAGAACCCCGGAAGGGGAGUGAAAUAGAACCUGAAACCGUGUGCCUACAACCGAUCGGAGCACGUUAAAGUGUGACGAUGUGCUUUUUGUAGAACGAGCCAGCGAGUUACGCUAUGUAGCAAGGUUAAGUACUUAAGGUAUGGAGCCGAAGGGAAACCGAGUCUGAAAAGGGCGAAAAGUUGCAUGGUGUAGACCCGAAACCGGGUGACCUAUCCAUGGCCAGGUUGAAGCGAGAGUAAAAUCUCGUGGAGGACCGAACCACGUUGGUGUUGAAAAACCAUGGGAUGAGCUGUGGAUAGCGGAGAAAUUCCAAUCGAACUCGGAGAUAGCUGGUUCUCCUCGAAAUAGCUUUAGGGCUAGCGUCGUGUAAUUGAGUAAUGGAGGUAGAGCACUGAAUGGGCUAGGGGCUAUAGUAGUUACCGAACCCUAUCAAACUCCGAAUGCCAUAUACUUGUAUCACGGCAGUCAGACUGCGAAUGAUAAGAUCCGUAGUCAAAAGGGAAACAGCCCAGACCAUCAGCUAAGGUCCCAAAGUGUAAGUUAAGUGGAAAAGGAUGUGGGAUUUCUAAGACAACUAGGAUGUUGGCUUAGAAGCAGCCACUCAUUUAAAGAGUGCGUAAUAGCUCACUAGUCAAGAGAUCCUGCGCCGAAGAUGUCCGGGGCUCAAACUUACCACCGA
rnacentral:rRNA from 1 species